AUUGAACGCUGGCGGCAGGCCUAACACAUGCAAGUCGAACGAGUGGCGGACGGGUGAGUAAUGUCUGGGACACUGCCUGAUGGAGGGGGAUAACUACUGGAAACGGUAGCUAAUACCGCAUACCAUCGGAUGUGCCCAGAUGGGAUUAGCUAGUUGGUGGGGUAACGGCUCACCUAGGCGAUGAUCCCUAGCUGGUCUGAGAGGAUGACCAGCGAAACUGGAACUGAGACACGGUCCAGACUCGUACGGGAGGCAGCAGUGGGGAAUAGUGCACAAGGGGCGCAAGCCUGAUGCAGCCAUGCCGCGUGUAUGAAGAAGGCCUUCGGGUUGUAAAGUACUUUCAGCGGGGAGGCGUUACCCGCAGAAGAAGCACCGGCUAACUCCGUGCCAGCCGCCGCGGUAAUUC
rnacentral:rRNA from 1 species